GACGAACGCUGGCGGCGUGCUUAACACAUGCAAGUCGAGCGGAAAGGCCUCUUUGGGGGUACUCGAGCGGCGAACGGGUGAGUAACACGUGAGCAACCUGCCCUCCACUUGGGGAUAACCAUCGGAAACGGUGGCUAAUACCGGAUAGGACACGGUGUCGCAUGGCAUCUGUGUGGAAAGUUUUUCGGUGGGGGAUGGGCUCGCGGCCUAUCAGCUUGUUGGUGGGGUGAUGGCCUACCAAGGCGACGACGGGUAGCCGGCCUGAGAGGGCGACCGG
rnacentral:rRNA from 1 species